CCUACGUGAGGCUGCAGUGAGGAAUAUUGGUCAAUGGGCGGAAGCCUGAACCAGCCAAGUAGCGUGCAGGAUGACGGCCCUACGGGUUGUAAACUGCUUUUAUAAGGGAAUAACGCGCCUUACGUGUACGGCUUUGCAUGUACUGUAUGAAUAAGGACCGGCUAAUUCCGUGCCAGCAGCCGCGGUAAUACGGAAGGUCCGGGCGUUAUCCGGAUGUAUUGGGGGUAAAGGGAGCGUAGAGGGGUUGUCAAGCCAGCUGUGAAAUGUUGGGGCGCAACCGGGGGAUUGCAGUGGGAAAUGGCAGUAGUGAGGACAGGUGGGGUAGGCGGAAGGAGUGGGGGAGAGGUGAAA
rnacentral:rRNA from 1 species